rnacentral:rRNA from 1 species
UACGAGUGCCCCAAGCGUUAUCCGGAAUUAUUGGGCGUAAAGGGUGUGUAGGUGGUUGUAUUAGUCUUGUGUUAAAUUCUUCGGCUUAACCGGGGCAUGGCAUAGGAAACGGUACAACUAGAGGAUGCGAGAGGUGAAUGGAACUCAUGGAGUAGGGGUGAAAUCCGUUGAUAUCAUGGGGAACACCAAAUGCGAAGGCAAUUCACUGGCGCACUCCUGACACUGAGACACGAAAGCGUAGGUAGCGAAUGGG